UGGGGAAUAUUGCACAAUGGGCGCAAGCCUGAUGCAGCCAUGCCGCGUGUAUGAAGAAGGCCUUCGGGUUGUAAAGUACUUUCAGCGGGGAGGAAGGUGUUGAGGCUAAUAACCUCAGCAAUUGACGUUACCCGCAGAAGAAGCACCGGCUAACUCCGUGCCAGCAGCCGCGGUAAUACGGGGGGUGCAAGCGUUAAUCGGAAUUACUGGGCGUAAAGCGCACGCAGGCGGUCUGUCAAGUCGGAUGUGAAAUCCCCGGGCUCAACCUGGGAACUGCAUUCGAAACUGGCAGGCUAGAGUCUUGUAGAGGGGGGUAGAAUUCCAGGUGUAGCGGUGAAAUGCGUAGAGAUCUGGAGGAAUACCGGUGGCGAAGGCGGCCCCCUGGACAAAGACUGACGCUCAGGUGCGAAAGCGUGGGGAGCAAACA
rnacentral:rRNA from 1 species